rnacentral:rRNA from 1 species
CACGUAGGGUGCGAGCGUUGUCCGGAAUUAUUGGGCGUAAAGAGCUCGUAGGCGGCGUGUCGCGUCGGCCGUGAAAACCUGCAGCUUAACUGUGGGCUUGCGGUCGAUACGGGCAUCACUGGAGUUCGGCAGGGGGAGACUGGAAUUCCUGGUGUAGCGGUGAAUGCGCAGAUAUCAGGAGGAACACCGGUGGCGAAGGCGGGUCUCUGGGCAGUAACUGACGCUGAGGAGCGAAAGCGUGGGGAACGAACAGG